GAUGAACGCUGGCGGCGUGCCUAAUACAUGCAAGUCGAGCGAACAGACGAGGAGCUUGCUCCUCUGACGUUAGCGGCGGACGGGUGAGUAACACGUGGAUAACCUACCUAUAAGACUGGGAUAACUUCGGGAAAGCGGAGCUAAUACCGGAUAAUAUAUUGAACCGCAUGGUUCAAUAGUGAAAGACGGUUUUGCUGUCACUUAUAGAUGGAUCCGCGCCGCAUUAGCUAGUUGGUAAGGUAACGGCUUACCAAGGCAACGAUGCGUAGCCGACCUGAGAGGGUGAUCGGCCACACUGGAACUGAGACACGGUCCAGACUCCUACGGGAGGCAGCAGUAGGGAAUGUUCCGCAAUGGGCGAAAGCUUGACGGAGCAACGCCGCGUGAGUGAUGAAGGUCUUCGGAUCGUAAAACUCUGUUAUUAGGGAAGAACAAAUGUGUAAGUAACUAUGCACGUCUUGACGGUACCUAAUCAGAAAGCCACGGCUAACUACGUG
rnacentral:rRNA from 1 species